rnacentral:rRNA from 1 species
UGAGGGGGGCUGCUCCUAGUACGAGAGGACUGGAGUGGACGCAUCACUGGUGUUCGGGUUGUCAUGCCAAUGGCACUGCCCGGUAGCUAAAUGCGGAAGAGAUAAGUGCUGAAAGCAUCUAAGCACGAAACUUGCCCCGAGAUGAGUUCUCCCUGACUCCUUGAGAGUCCUGAAGGAACGUUGAAGACGACGACGUUGAUAGGCCGGGUGUGUAAGCGCAGCGAUGCGUUGAGCUAACCGGUACUAAUGAACCGUGAGGCUUAACCUUACAACGCCGAAG